CUGGGUGUGUGUGUGGGAUACGGCUAUGUCUGUUACCAGAAGAAGGGGGAAGAGGAAGAAAAGAAAAAGAGGAGAGGAGGAGAGAAAGAACUUGGCCUUGACAAGUCCUCUAAAUUCAGGAAGAACCACCCCCAGCCCAGCCAGGGAAAGUAGGAGAAAGGUCACUGGGGGAGGGGCAUGCAGGCACUUUCUGCCAGCCAGCUCCGUCUGCACUGCCAGGAGUGGGGGCAGACCCAGAAAGAUGGGAAGUAUACUUUCCAAUCCCUCGGGCAGCUAGCUCCCUUUCCCCUACUUUCCUCUCAUCCAAUCGGGACAGGCACACUGCCAAACCACCCAUGUGGUUCCCAUUAGGGCCAGCUGUUUGUCUCUCCAGCUCUGAACUUUCCUCUACUUGGCUAGGCUGAGUCUGGGAGUUCCAAAGCCACAAAACCACCCCCUCAGCUCUUCUCUUCCACCACAUCACCCAUCCAGAACCUAUGCCUGCCGACCCUGGAAAAGCUCAUCCAUGACCCUCGCCAUGCCUAGAGAUUGCAACCCUAGGCUUCCUCCUGUUGCCUGUCCUCCACCACCAGGGGUCUUGGUGUCCAGGAAUUUACCUGCGUUAAAGGAGGAUCAGUGUCUGAGGACAGACCUGUCAUCCCAGCUCUUGGGGCAUGGAGCAGAAGAGUGUGGAAUUCAUCUUGAGCUACACAAUUCCCCUGAAGCCUGGCACAGAAAACCUGUCUGACAAGAAGACCCUUAGGGCAAAUUGACUGAAAAACCCCCAAGUUGAGUCAGCAGGGCUGGGAGCCAGCAGCAAACCUCUGGAAUCUGAAACUGCAUGCCUCAAGGCUGACAUGCAGGCCACUGCUUGUACACUUGACCAGCUGGGCCUUUUGCCAGGCUGAUCCCAGCAGCAGUGACAGGCAGACAGGAAGAGUAGGCAGAAAACCCUCAACAAGGGAUGAAUUCAUACAUCCACCAUCUGUUCUCUCCAAACAUCAGCCUUUGGGCACAGCUCAUAGCCAUUCCAUGCUAGUCCAUGUGCCAUCUCCUUGUCCAAGUCUUCUUGCCUCCAGAGAAAAACCACCAAGAUGGGUGUGGUGGUGCAUGCCUGUCAUCUUAGCACUUAGAGGAUAGUAGCAAGAAGGUCCACCUGUAAGAGAAACAAAAUAGGGCUGGUGAGAUGGCUCAGCAGGCAAGAGCA